rnacentral:rRNA from 1 species
UACGUAGGGGGCGAGCGUUGUUCGGAAUUACUGGGCGUAAAGGGCGUGUAGGCGGUGCGAUAAGUUGGGCGUGAAAUCCCCGGGCUUAACCCGGGGCGGUCGUUCAAGACUGUCGUGCUAGAGUGCAGGAGAGGGAAGUGGAAUUCCCGGUGUAGCGGUGAAAUGCGUAGAUAUCUGGAGGAACACCGGUGGCGAAGGCGGCGUCCUGGACCAACACUGACACUGAUGAGCGAAAGCCAGGGGAGCAAACGGG